rnacentral:lncRNA from 9 species
AUGAAGAACACCUCCAGCUUUGCUCUAGAGGCACAUGGACAAACGAACAAAGAUUCUAUGGCAUGGAAUAACAGCAGGAAGCACAAGAAUGGAGAAGUUGGCCUCCUGAGGUCCCAUGCAGCCAGUGUAAGGCAGCAUCCGGGGAUCACACUGGAUUUGGAAUCAGAAGCUCAAUCAUUAAAUGGAGGAUCUUCUUGGAUGAGCCCUUAAGGAUCCCUUAAGUCUCCGUUUCGACACUUGAAAAUACCAGUUUUACUGACCUCACAGUCUGUUAUGAAGAUUAAGGUAUAUACUUACCUAUUUUGAAUAAAGUUUUACAUGAACAUAAGUUAUUUUUAAAAUCAUGUGUGGGAGAUUUUGGAAGAUGAUCCCUAGCAGGGUCAGCAAACGUGGCAGAGAACAAACAGAGGAAUGCAAUUGCCUCACUGAGGUGUUUCCUAAUUUUUGUACAUAGAAUAUCUUUCCCUACCAGAGUGCACAUUCUGAAGGGUAAGACCUAAGUUUUAC